rnacentral:lncRNA from 1 species
GGCGCGGGCGCGGCGCAGGUCGCGGUGGCUCGCGUCCAGCAGCCUCUGGUCGCCGGUGUAGGAGUGGGUGGUGGUCAUGGUGCCCUUGAUGAUGCCUUGAUCCAUGCAUAUAUAUAUAUAUAUAUAUAUAUACACCGUUAUUAUAGGUUUGUCCGAUUUGCAAUAAUCACAAGGAGGGAGCAUCAAGUUUGCGGCGCUCGACUCGAGUUGAGUGAAGAAGAUCGAUACGCACCGAACUUUUGGUCGAGCACCUUGACGAAUGGCGCGAGGCAGUUGGUGGUGCAGGAGGCGUUGCUGAUGAUGGGCUCGUCGGGGUUGUACUGGUCGGCAUUGACGCCGACGACGUAGGUGGGGAUGUCGCCCUUGCCGGGCGCCGUGAUGAGCACCUUCUUGGCCCCCGCCUGGAUGUGCUUCCCCGCGCCCUCGCGGUCGACGAAGACGCCGGUGCCCUCGAUGACGAGGUCGAUGCCGAGCUCGCCCCACGGCAGGUUGCUGGGGUUGCGGUCGGACACGACCUUGAUGACCUUGCCGUCGACGGAGAUGGCGUUGUCGCCGACGGGCUUGACGUCGGCGUCGAAGAUGCCGAGCGUGGAGUCGUACUUGAGCAGGUGGGACGCCUGCUUGACACCGCCGGUGUCGUUGAUGGCGAUGACGUCGAGGGGCGAGGCGUCGCCGCGCCCGUGCCAGCACCGCAGGAAGUUGCGCCCGAUGCGGCCGAACCCGUUGAUGGCCACCUUCAGCUUCGCCUCCGUCGGCGCCCGCCGCGACCCGCCGCUCGUGCCGACCUGGUUGUUGAUGUGAUGCACGAGCGAGCGAGCGAGCAAGCCAGGCAGCAGCAGCGCAUACACACACGUGUGAAUCCCCAAAGCCGGCCGUACGUGCAAUACGAUACAAAGCUACUUUCCUACGCGGCUGCAUGAGGGUGGAUCGAUCGGCCGGGGCAGGCACGUACCGCGUGGGUCCUGAAGGAGACGGCGGACAUGAAGUCGUCGGAGGUGGCAUUCCGGCGCAUGGGCAGCGACGCGGAGCUCCUGAGCCCGGAGAACUCGGACAGGCCGCCCCCCUGGAGUACAACAUCAAAGAACCAUCACUACUCGCUUGUCCGGUGGAGCAGCUAGAGUGCAAGCAAACCAUUGAUCCUACGUAGCAGCACGGGUGGAGAGAGAGACGCGGCACGAGAGGCAUACCUGCUGGAGUGGCACGGUGGUAGCGGAGAGCAUGGACGACGCCAUGGCCACGGACCAGAGGAUCAAGACAAGAUGACGAUGCUAGCCAACAAGCGGGCGCGUAUAUACGAUACGAGUUGGCGGAUUGGGGGCGCGCGCGUUUGUGGUGCGCGUGGCCGCGAUCGGGGAUCGUGAGGUCGGGAUUCGGGGAGGGAUCAGAUUUCGGAUAGCAUGGCCGACGAAUGGCUGUCGAUGGCCGCCCUCCUGCGCGAUCAACGUGUGGCCCAUUUUCC